AACAACAAAAGCUGAUUGGGUAAAUGCAACUCAAGGGAGUGUAAUAAGAAAAGACUUUGCUUUUUGAAAGAAAAGGAUAAUAUCCUUCCUAUAUACCAAAACCCCUAUAUUACAAACAUUAGAACUGCAUCUAUGCUAAUAAACCUUUUGCAUUUCCAAUUGAAAGAGAUCUUAUAUAAGGAAGGCGCAUUUUUUCCCACCUGCUACCAAAUCUAAUGGCAAUCUUCUCAUGAGAAACAGAUCUAGUUAAGUGCCCUGUGCAAACAUUCUUAAGCCAAGGCACGCAGUGCUUACUGGGGUAAAGUCAUUUAACAAGGACUGGAAAGACAGGACUACAUAACAGCUGACAGUGACUGUCACUAAAAUGGUCAUUUUUCCUCAAAGUUAGCACUGUUAGCCUGAAAACCGGUCCCACAACGAGGACAAAGUGUCUGCCUUAUUUUGCAGCUGUUUUUAUUUCCUGUCUUACUGCUUCACCACACUGCAAGAACCCCAGGGAACUGGACGUGAAGUUUAUUCAAAGCACUCUUGUUGCUGUAAGAGUAUGAAAACAAUAUCCCAGCUUCACUAUGAAAUGACCUUGAUGAUCUGUGUAACAUUUGUCAGAGACUAAUAAAAUUUGUAAAGAUACUUGCUGAUAUGAUUGAUUGCAUUCUUCACUGCUCCAGUUACCUCAAACUAAAUUUCCUGUCAUUAUAAUGAUGACUUUUGUAAGUGCAGUUCCUUAAUUUUUUCCUAAGUCUUUCAACAGCAAUCUCACAAUAGACUGAAAGUGUUUAUGGAUCAAUAACGUGCAAAAAUUUUAAACCUUUCAGCUUAUGAGGUGCUGUGACAGAGCAUUAGCAGGGAGCAUAAUUCCUAUGUAACAGGAAAACAAUAUCCAAACCUAGUCUGCACUUAACCAGCACCAUGAAGAGCUGGAGAAUUCUACAGAUUCUGAAUAAUAUCCAUUACUGAUGAUUCAUCACUGUCCCAAUGGACAAAAAAAGAAAGCUAAAAGAUUAACAAAGAAAUCACAAGCAACACAUAUAUUCAAGACUUACCUGGUCACAGUCUGUCAUGCUGAAUUACUCAAGUGUGCCUGACCUGCUUUUCCCUGACAUUUUGUUCAGGUGAAUUGCAGGAUGCUAUUUUAACCAGAAGGGCUUUGAAAGGAGCCAGAGAAGGUUGAGAGCAUUUACCUAUCCGGGCUCCAGGCAUGAUUAAAAUGUCUGUAUUGCUUUCAGUCUCUGAAAACAGCACAUCUUAAUUCAUACAGGAAUCCAGUUAAUUAAGUCGUGCUGACAAUGUACUUCAGGAUAGGGUACUUCAGAAGCAACUGUAUCUCUGUACAAAGAAUAGUACAUCUUCUGCGUAAGAUCAGGAAGCUUUUCUCAUUCACAGCCAGGUUCACAAACGUCACAGACCCAAAUGCUCUAAAAGGAUGUCUCCUCAAUAAUUCAUACACAAAACUGAGAUAAUUGCCAGGAAAGAAGAAAUCUCUCUGCAGAUGAACUCUGCUAAAACUUGAAACAAAAAUAAGGCAGCCUUCAGCAAGAAAUUCAUUUGGACAGGUUCAGGCACCAAGGGAGAAUUACUGAUCUGUACCACUUACAGACACUGCCAAAGAUGGCACACCAAACUGCUACAAGCACAACACCCUGUGGUGGGCUGACAGACACCCAUCCAGCCACUGUCUUGCACCUUCUCCUCAAGAAGACAGGGGAGAUAAUAAGAUAUAAAAGCUCAUGGAUCAAGUUAAAGAGGUCACUCACUGAUACUGUCACAGUAUGGCCAGACUCAACUCCUCCACCUUCCUCCCCUCCCAGAGAGUGCAGGCAGACGAGGAAUGGGAGUCGAAGCCACUCCAUAACAGCACCUGUCUGCUACCUUUUCCUCCUCACGCUCAUUUACUGCUUUAGUGAGGGGUUCCUCCUAUAGGAUACAGUCUUUGAUGAACUUCUCCAACAUGGAUCCAUUACAGCAGAUGCAGACCUUCAAGAACAGACUGCUCCAGGCAGGUCACACAUGGGCUGUUCCUGCUCCUGUGUGGGCUUCCCUCCACAGGCCACAGCUCCAGGAGGCUGUUUUGGUACCUGCUCUCUCUCCAUGGCUGCAGCAUCCCUCAAGGCAUCUCCAUGGGCUACAGUGUGGAAACACACUCCACCACGGUCUUCUCCAGGGGCUGCACAGCAAAUCUCUGCUCUGGUGUCUGGAGUACCGUACCCCCUUCCCACCUUCUUCACUGGCCUUGGUGCCUGCAGGGCUGUUUCUCACAUUCUUCCUUACUCCCUUCUCGCAGUCUGCUGUGCAGCAUUUUUACACCUUUCUUAAACCCACUUCCAAGAGGCAGCACUGUCCUGGCUGAGGGGAUCAGCUGUGCCCUGCACUGGGUCUGCUGGAGCUGGCUGGAAUUGGCUGUGUCUAGCACAGGCAGCCUCAGCUGCUCCUCACAAUGGCCACCCUACAGCCUCACCAUUGCCAUCACCUCACCAUACACACACCACCACUCACAAAUGAACAAAAAAAUCCCCAAACAACCAAAACCAGAAAAGAAUCCAGUAAACUCCUUGGGACUUGACUAGAAAGAAAACGAAACCCCACCAGUGGAGGGAUGUGGAACAACAAUUCAGAACAGUCUAAUUUUAUGUAAGAGACCUCAAUUCCUAGACGCAUGAAAAAUAGCCCUAAGAUUAUGCAAUGUUUUAUGAAAAGUAACUCUAAAUGAACAAAAUUAGAAUUAGCCUAAUACAGAAGGCUGUUUGUUUAUAAAAUUUGGGCAAUUUCUAGUGUCUGUUUUUAUGGGGUUUGAUUUUUCAUUCCAGCCCAAAGCUCAAACUACAAAACAGGUAUAUCACAUUAAGUAGCUCUAGUAGAGUCUAUAGGGAAGCAAGAAAAAAGUAAAAGACAAACAGCACAUUUCCUUCAGCAGGGUCGCAAACAAAUUUGAGGUUUGCUUUUCUUCUUCCACUGGUUGCAAAACCAAACAGAAUUCAGAACAAAUUUGGGGAGACAUUUUUGUUUUGGCUAGGGUUUUAUCUUUUCCCAAUAUAAACAUUAACUUUCAGAAGAUAAACAUGCCACCUGAAGCUACAUAUUAAAUGAUAAAACUGUUAAGG